AGAGUUGAUCAUGGCUCAGGACGAACGCUGGCGGCGUGCUUAAUACAUGCAAGUCGAACGAAGCCUAGUCUUAGUUACUAUAGACGAAAGCUUAGUGGCGGACGGGUGAGUAACGCGUGGAGAAUCUGCCCUCAAGACCGGGAUAACAGAGCGAAAGUUCUGCUAAAACCGGAUAUGCUCUGAGAGCCGCAUGGUUUAAAGAGGAAAACGUUAGUGCUUGAGGAUGGCUCCGCGUCCCAUUAGCUAGUUGGUAAGGUAACGGCUUACCAAGGCGACGAUGGGUAGCCGGCCUGAGAGGGUGACCGGCCACACUGGGACUGAGACACGGCCCAGACUCCUACGGGAGGCAGCAGUAGGGAAUUUUCCGCAAAUGGGCGAAAGCCUGACGGAGCAACGCCGCGUGAAGGAUGAAGGCCUUCGGGUCGUAAACUUUUGUCUUUGGGGACGAUAAUGACGGUACCCAAGGAGGAAGCCCCGGCUAACUACGUGCCAGCAGCCGC
rnacentral:rRNA from 1 species